CCGGGACUGCAGCCGGACCUCCAAGGAGCAGGGUUUGCAUAGAGUGGUUUGGGAAAGGACAUUCCAGAAGAGCUCACUGCUAGAGGAAGGGCCUUGAGGAGGAGGAGACAUCUCAGAUACGGUCGUGGGAGAGGUGUGCCCGGGUCAGGGGGCACCAAGAAAGGCCAAGGACCCUGUGCCUCCUGUCCACAUUGGAGAUUUUGAUUUUUAGGUUUCUCCUCUGGCAGCCCAGGGCAAG
rnacentral:lncRNA from 10 species